rnacentral:rRNA from 1 species
AGUGAACGCUGGCGGCAGGCCUAAUACAUGCAAGUCGAACGGCAGCACAGCAGAGCUUGCUCUGUGGGUGGCGAGUGGCGGACGGGUGAGGAAUACAUGGGAAUCUGCCCAGUCGUGGGGGAUAACGUAUGGAAACGUACGCUAAUACCGCAUGCGCCCUAAGGGGGAAAGCCGGGGACCGCAAGGCCUGGCGCGAUUGGAUGAGCCCAUGUUCGAUUAGCUAGUUGGCGGGGUAAAGGCCCACCAAGGCGACGAUCGAUAGCUGGUCUGAGAGGAUGAUCAGCCACACUGGAACUGAGACACGGUCCAGACUCCUACGGGAGGCAGCAGUGAGGAAUAUUGGUCAAUGGGUGCGAGCCUGAACCAGCCAUCCCGCGUGCAGGAUGACGGUCCUAGUGAUUGUAAACUGUCUUUUCUAUGAGAUGAAUAAGAAUUACGUGUAGUUCGAUGACCGUAUUAUAGGAAUAAGC